rnacentral:rRNA from 1 species
GUUCCUUAUUUUUAUCUUCCACUUCGCUGUGGCACUACCAAUGUUGCCUCAUCGGAUCUUCCCGCUCCCGGUAAAUGGGACGGACCGCCGAGGACCCCUAAAUCUGUUUCUAUAUGUUACUUCUGAUUAAACCAUAAUAAUUCAAAAUUUUCAACAACGGAUCUCUUGGUUUUGGCAUCGAUGAAGAACGCAGCAAAAUGCGAUAAGUAAUGUGAAUUGCAGAAUUCAGUGAAUCAUCGAAUCUUUGAACGCACAUUGCGCCCGCCAGUAUUCUGGCGGGCAUGCCUGUUCAAGCGUCAUUUCAACCCUCAAGCCCAGUUUGGUGUUGGGACUCGCGAGUCAAAUCGCGUUCCCCAAAUUGAUUGGCGGUCACGUCGAGCUUCCAUAGCGUAGUAUUAAAACCCUCGUUACUGGUAAUCGUCGCGGCCACGCCGUUAAACCCCAACUUCUGAAUGUUGACCUCGGAUCAGGUAGGAAUACCCGCUGAACUUAAGCAUAUCAAUAAGC